AUUGAACGCUGGCGGGAUGCCUUACACAUGCAAGUCGAACGGCAGCACGGACUUCGGUCUGGUGGCGAGUGGCGAACGGGUGAGUAAUGUAUCGGAACGUGCCUAGUAGCGGGGGAUAACUACGCGAAAGCGUAGCUAAUACCGCAUGCGCCCUACGGGGGAAAGCAGGGGAUCGUAAGACCUUGCACUAUUAGAGCGGCCGAUAUCGGAUUAGCUAGUUGGUGGGGUAACGGCUCACCAAGGCGACGAUCCGUAGCUGGUUUGAGAGGACGACCAGCCACACUGGGACUGAGACACGGCCCAGACUCCUACGGGAGGCAGCAGUGGGGAAUUUUGGACAAUGGGGGAAACCCUGAUCCAGCCAUCCCGCGUGUGCGAUGAAGGCCUUCGGGUUGUAAAGCACUUUUGGCAGGAAAGAAACGUCAUGGGUUAAUACCCCGUGAAACUGACGGUACCUGCAGAAUAAGCACCGGCUAACUACGUGCCAGCCGCCGCGGUAAAAC
rnacentral:rRNA from 1 species